GGGCGCGAUGGACGGGCCAAGGCCUCGGGGCACAUUGAGGGAAGGGACAGGGCCCGGCGGGGCGGGUCACGGCCGGGGGGACACGUUCCGUUCAGGGACGGGGACAGGUCAUGGACCUGAGGAUGGCAUUCAGCAAAGGCGCCAGGGCCCAGUCGGAUGAGUCAUGGCCCUGGGGACCGGGACAUGGCCCAGGGGCCCUGUAGACCUGUGGACAGCAUUCAGCUAAGGGAACAGGGCCUGUUGGGAUGAGUCGUGGCCUUGGGGAUGUGUUCAGGGAAGGGACAAGGCCCAGUGGGAUGGGUCACAGCCCUGAGGAUGAUGGGACGAGUCAUGGCCCCCGGGACAGUGUUCAGCAAUGAGGACAGGGUCUGGAGGGACAGGACAUGGCCUUGGGGAUGGUUGGAUGGGUCAUAUACCCAGAGACAGUGCUCAGUGACAAGGCUGGUCACUGGCGCGGACCAGGUCAUGGCCUUGGGGACAGUUCUCAGCAACAGGGAGAGGGACAGUGGGGCAGGUCCCGGCUUUGGGGACAACAUUCAGGGAAGGGCUCUGUGGGAUGUGUCUUGGCCUCCAAACCUGGUAGAAUGUGUCGUUGCCUCAGAGACGGCUUAGUGAUGAGAUCAGGACUCUGGAACAGUCUUAUUUAGGCCUCGACCCUGCUAAUACAGAUGCUUAAAAUCUACAUGGCUACUUCAGAACCUAUGGACAGACGUACAGUAGAAAAGCCUGCUGAUACAGUUAUGGUAGCAAACAUGCCCAGUUGGAUGGAAGUAAUAACAGAGGGAAAUGUGAGGAUCACCAACAAGGCUUGACUUGAAAGCAAGGGCUCCAAGAGAGUAUCCAGUGCAGUAAUUAACAUCGUGUUGGUCAUUAACAAGGGAAAAACAAUGAGAAGGAUCAAGACGCCAGAUCUGUCUGCCACUGUGCUGUGUCAAAAAGUCUUGUGGAAUACUAGCUCAGCUGCAACCUCUUUGAGACAGCGAGUUGUCCUUGUGCCAAUUUGUAUGUCAUUAGCAUAUUGUUGAUGCUAACUUAAUAACGAAUAAAGAUAAUUUUUAAGCAA